AAAUGUUACAGUUCUUUUAUAAUUUGUCUAGCAAGUUUUAUGGUUUUCAUCAGGAACCCCCC
rnacentral:snRNA from 1 species